AUACGGAGGGUGCAAGCGUUAAUCGGAAUUACUGGGCGUAAAGCGCGCGUAGGCGGUUAGAUAAGUCGGAUGUGAAAUCCCUGGGCUCAACCUGGGAACUGCAUUCGAUACUGUCUAACUAGAGUAUGGUAGAGGGAAGUGGAAUUCCGGGUGUAGCGGUGAAAUGCGUAGAUAUCCGGGGGAACAUCAGUGGCGAAGGCGACCUCCUGGACCAAUCCUGACGCUGAGGUGCGAAAGCGUGGGGAGCAAACAGGAUUAGAAACCCCGGUAGUCC
rnacentral:rRNA from 1 species